rnacentral:rRNA from 1 species
GGCGCAAGCCUGAUCCCGCCAUGCCGCGUGCAGGAUGAAGGCCUUCGGGUUGUAAACUGCUUUUGUACGGAACGAAAAGACUCUGGUUAAUACCUGGGGUCCAUGACGGUACCGUAAGAAUAAGCACCGGCUAACUACGUGCCAGCAGCCGCGGAAAUACUUAGGGUGCGAGCGUUAACCGGAAUUACUGGGCGUAAAGCGUGCGCAGGCGAAUAUGUAACACAGAUGUGAAAUCCCCGGGCUCAACCUGGGAACUGCAUUUGUGACUGCAUACCUGGAAUACGGCAUAGGGGGAUGGAAUUCCGCGGGUAACACUGAAAUGCGUAGAUAUGCGAAGGAACACCGAUGGCGAAGGCAAUCCCCUGGGGCUGUACUGACGCUCAUGCACGAAAACGUGGGGAGCAAACAGGAGUACAUACCCUGGUAAUCCACGCCCUAUACGAUGUCAACUGGUUGUUGGAUCUUCACUGAGUCAUCAACCAAGCUAACGCGUGAAGUUGACCGCCUGGGGAGUACGGCCGCAAGGUUGAAACUCAUAGG